rnacentral:piRNA from 1 species
UCUGUAACAGAAGUGGAGGCAGAUUGCAA